UGCACAUUCCUAGCACCUUCAAUCUCACAGCACAGCUGUAGGGUGGGCAAACAGUGUAUUAUUUACAGAGUAAACUGAGGCACAGAAUGGACACUGAGAGGAUGGGGAGAGAGGAUCAUUGCUGGAGUCCUUACACUCCAGUGCUUUGGCAGAACAUUCAGCAGACACGGACAACAGGUCAAAUCCUCCCAUACUACUUGUCUGCUUCAUGCUGAUCCAGCGAUGCACAGAAGCUGGGAAGCCAGCUUAACCAGGUAGCUGGGAAUUUUCUUGUUUCACCAUGGCCUUGCCCAGGCCAUUGGGGGAAUUAGAAGGCCUACACUCUGUGAUCCCCAGGUCUAACUGCAGUAUUGCCAACCCCAACACAUUAAAAAAUGUGGAUUAAAAAGACUGGAUUAAAUAUUAGAUUUAAAAAUAAUUUGGGGGUUCUAUUUAUUUGCCUGCUGAUUUUUGAGCCUUUAAGUUUUCAAACUUUUCUCUGCAGCCCAUGAGGGCUAGACACUAUUUUUUUAAUGUAAAGUUACAAUUCUCACCAAAUCACAUGACUCCAGAAGCUAUGCUUU